rnacentral:rRNA from 1 species
CCUACGGGCGGCAGCAGUGAGGAAUAUUGGUCAAUGGACGAGAGUCUGAACCAGCCAAGUAGCGUGAAGGAUGACUGCCCUAUGGGUUGUAAACUUCUUUUAUAUGGGAAUAAAACGUUCCACGUGUGGGAUUUUGUAUGUACCAUAUGAAUAAGGAUCGGCUAACUCCGUGCCAGCAGCCGCGGUAAUACGGAGGAUCCGAGCGUUAUCCGGAUUUAUUGGGUUUAAAGGGAGCGUAGGUGGAUUGUUAAGUCAGUUGUGAAAGUUUGCGGCUCAACCGUAAAAUUGCAGUUGAAACUGGCAGUCUUGAGUACAGUAGAGGUGGGCGGAAUUCGUGGUGUAGCGGUGAAAUGCUUAGAUAUCACGAAGAACUCCGAUUGCGAAGGCAGUUCACUGGACUGCAACUGACACUGGGGCUCGAAAGUGUGGGUAUCAAACAGGAUUAGAUACCCCUGUAGUC